GGUCUACCACCGUUAUAUAAUAGCUCAGGCUCUCAUCGUUGAUCAGGUCUACCACCUUUAUAUAAUAGCUCAGGCUCUCAUCGUUGAUCAGGUCUACCACCUUUAUAUAAUAGCUCAGGCUCUCAUCGUCAUUGGUUAUCAGGUCUACCACCUUUAUAUAAUAGCUCAGGCUCUCAUCGUCAUUGGUUAUCAGGUCUACCACCUUUAUAUAAUAGCUCAGGCUCUCAUCGUUGAUCAGGUCUACCACCGUUAUAUAAUAGCUCAGGCUCUCAUCGUCGUUGGUUAUCAGGUCUACCACCUUUAUAUAAUAGCUCAGGCUCUCAUCGUUGAUCAGGUCUACCACCGUUAUAUAAUAGCUCAGGCUCUCAUCGUUGAUCAGGUCUACCACCUUUAUAUAAUAGCUCAGGCUCUCAUCGUUGAUCAGGUCUACCACC